rnacentral:rRNA from 1 species
CACGUAGGGCGCAAGCGUUGUCCGGAAUUAUUGGGCGUAAAGAGCUCGUAGGCGGUCUGUUGCGUCUGCUGUGAAAACUCGGGGCUUAACCCCGAGCCUGCAGUGGAUACGGGCAGACUAGAGGUAGGUAGGGGAGAAUGGAAUUCCCGGUGUAGCGGUGAAAUGCGCAGAUAUCGGGAGGAACACCGGUGGCGAAGGCGGCGUUCUGGACUGCAACUGACACUGAUGAACGAAAGCCAGGGGAGCAAACGGG